rnacentral:ribozyme from 13 species
AAUAUCCGAGCACAAAAAGCAUUACAAAUUGCUGAAAAAAACCAAAAAGAAAAAGAACAAAGAAUUUCCCAGGUUAUUUUUUUUUCCCUUUUUUUUUUCUUGGGGUUUUUACU